rnacentral:tRNA from 1 species
GAAACGGUAGCUCAAUCGGCAGAGCACCCGGCUUUUAACCGGGGGGUUGUGGGAUCGUGGCCCACCCGUUUCA